UGUGACGGAAGGAGGACUCGUUUCUAGAGGUGGAUGGACCCACUGCUGCGGAUCCUGACCAGCACGAAGCCGCAACACCGCCACAACCAAUCAGAGGAUACGUUACUGGAUGGUGGAGCACAACGGGGAUGGCCCACCAUGCAGCCCAGCGCUCUUCAGACCAGGCUGAGGGACUGACACCAAUCAGUACCUGAGCCAGGAGGGCCCAGAGUUUUUCC